rnacentral:rRNA from 1 species
CAGUAGCCGCGGUAAUACGGAGGAUCCAAGCGUUAUCCGGAAUCAUUGGGUUUAAAGGGUCCGUAGGCGGUCUUGUAAGUCAGUGGUGAAAGCCCAUCGCUCAACGGUGGAACGGCCAUUGAUACUGCAGGACUUGAAUUAUUGGGAAGUAACUAGAAUAUGUAGUGUAGCGGUGAAAUGCUUAGAGAUUACAUGGAAUACCAAUUGCGAAGGCAGGUUACUACCAAUUGAUUGACGCUGAUGGACGAAAGCGUGGGUAGCGAACAGGAUUAGAUACCCCCGUAGUCCAUGUCUCUUAUAC